GGCUUGUUGCCAUGAUAAUCACUGCUGCAAGUGUGGCACCAACGGCAAUAAGCCUUAGCAGGAGGCUGAGUAGCCUCUUGGGCUUCAUCAUUGAUACUAACUUGAAUGUUUGAGUGCACUAGAAGCGUUGAGAGUUGUUGUUUGCAGACAAAGCUGGAAUAUAAAGCAGAAUUGAUGAAGGCAGUACGUUUCUUUAUACGGUUGUCAGCUAUGAAGGCAGAAAUGAAGGGUGGUGGUGACUGGUGCGCUAGUUUUGGUCCUUGCUUGUGCUUUGUUAAUUAGUUGAAUUCCCCACCCGUCACCAACACCGUCCAGUAAGGUUUUUUUCUACUUUUUCUGCCAUGCAGACUUUAAGGGCAUGCAGCCUAUGGCUUAUAUUGGCUUGUGGAGUUGGUUUUUCUUGAUGUGGAUGAAUUUCAUAUGGCUAUGAAUGAUUAAAAGAGGAAGAAUCCAUAUUGAACCCUGUCCCA
rnacentral:lncRNA from 1 species